GGACCUGAGCCGAAGGCAGAGGCUUAACCCACUGAGCCACCCAGGUGCCCCUCCUUGUUUGUUUUUAUGCUGCACACUCUCCUGGAAGAUCCCUGGUGUUUCUCAAGCAGGUCUGACAGGCUUCUACCCCAGGGCCUUUGCCCAUCCAUGUCCUUACACAGAGGACUUCCUUCUUCCUGUCUUCUCAUGGGUUACACUCUCUUAUUCUCUCUCCUAUUAGGCUACAUCUGCUCAGCUGUAGCUCUUCUGAGAGGAAUUCUCUGAUCCCUUAACAUUCUCUAUUUCCUUACUGUCCUUUAUUUUUCUUGAGAGUACUAAUAUUACCUGGCAUUGUAUGGUAUUUUCUUUUUUAUUCUAGGUCUUCUUUCCACUAGAUUGUAAGUUCCCUGAUCCCAGAACUUUGUCCAUUGUUCACUGCUGCAUAAACAUUCUAGCUACCCAUAUGGUGUUACUGGUACAAAGUAAGCAAUGGGUAUUAGUUUCACGGGCAGAUUAAUGAGUACAUGAAUCAAUGAUGGAAUGAAAUUCAUACUGUCCAUGGAUUCAGCUACUAGCCACAUGCUGAUGACUCCAAAAUCUACACUUCCUGCCCCUCCCUCUUGAAAGCCAGAUCCACUUACCCCAACUUCCUGUGAGACAUAUGUGUUGUCACAAUCUAGAGGCACUCACAUUUACUUGCCCCAAACGGAACUCAUCACCCCCAGUAACCUAAACUUGCUAUUCCUCUUGUGUUCCCUUCUUUUGUGAAUGACUCCACCAUCUGCCCCUUUGCCUAAGCCAGAAACCUGAGAAUCAUGUUCUAUUUGUUCCUCUCCCUUAUCCUCCACAUUCAGUCUCUAAAUCCUAUUGAUUCUAGCCCCUUUGGCUUGAUCCUUGUCCUGUACAUCCCCACUGACACCAUCUCCUUCACUUGUUUAUCGCUUCUGACUACUUGACUUCCCAUAAACCUUGUCUCCUACCAAUUCAUUCUUUACUGUGCCACCAGGGAAAUCUUUCUAUAGUGUGCUGUAGUCAUGCUUACCAGUCUCCAGUGGCUACUCUUUGCUGAAAGUUAACAGCCAAGCUUCUAGGUAUGACAUGCAAAACCACUUAAAUUAAGUCCCCAACUAAAUUCUAGAAUAGGUCUCCUGCUGGCUCUCCUCUUAUCUCUGUUUUUGCUCCACCACCACCAUUCACAGUAGCACAACGAUGAGCAAGGAAUAUUUUCAAUACAUAUCUCUGGGUCACAUUCUCAAAAAAAGUAUGUUUUUCUUGGUUAUGCAGGACCUUCAUGUUUCUGGAUAAAAGGGAGAGUCCUUUAAGACAAUGUCUCUUAUGAUGAUGAUACUCUUAAGAGAAUCUUAAGACCUUUCCAAAAGUUUGCCGCUCUGUGGAAGGCGUAGAGCUAUGCCUUCUGAAGGAACCUGUUCCCAAGUGUGAAAGGAAGACCUGUUAUGUUUUCAACUUCAUCAUUUCCAGGGAAGAGGUUCCAGGGUUCCUCAGAGCCUGCAUCCGAUGGGAAGCCGGGGAACAAGGACCUGGGAAAGCACAGCUGGCAAGAUUGCAGCCCCUGAAAUCAGCGUACAAAGUGCGUACAGCAGAGUAAAUGAGCUAAGACCAUACGAGCAAAGGACUCCAAAGCCUAGAGACUGUGGCUCUACAUAAACACAGAAAAGAAUUUAGAUGCAAGUCAUGGAAAGAGGCCAGGAUGAGCUUCCAAGCGUUCAGAAUCUUACAACUGAUGAUGGUGCUUGAUAGGUAUUUGAUGGAGAGAUGAUCUGAUGCUGUGACAGACCAAGUGUGGACUAGCCUGGAUCUGCAUCUUCUUGCUGGGAGAGCCAUCUCUGUAGUCAUUCUUUCUACUGGGAAAUGGACUUAUUUAUCUACUUACUGGAAGUUUGAACCAAUUCCACAUGCCCUCUCCACCUCAGGUGUAUAUCAGAAAACAAAGCAGACAUCAUUUCCUGCUCUUGUGGAGCUUGUCUAUGGAGGAAGGAGACAACAAGAAAAAUUAGUAAGUAUUUUGUACGAUAUAUAAGAAGGUAGUAAGGGCCAUGGGGGAAAAUUAGAACAGGCGAUAAAGGUCAGCCAUGCUGGGGCAGGGGCUGGGAGGCUGGGACUUCUGGCAAUGAUAAACAAGGCAAUCAGAGUAGAACUCAUUUGAAGAGAUGGCAUUUGAAGAAGAUGCUUAACAGAAGGGAAUGAGUAAACCAUGUAGGUAUUUGGAGGAAGAACAUUCCAGAUGGAGGGAACAGCGAGUGCAGGGGCUCUAAGGCCAGGAGGUUGCUGCAAUGUUGAAGGAAGAGCAAGGAGUCCAUGACGGCCAGAGUAGAGGGAGCAAGUGGGACAGCAGUCAGAGAUGGAAGGGGGAUCUUGUGCAGCAUCGGAAGGACUCUGCCAUCCACCCUGAAUAAGGUAGGACCCAUGGGAAGGUUCGUGGUCUAGUUGGGUUUUGACAGGAUUAUUCCGGCUGCUUUGCUUGAAAAUAGACUGUAGGACGCAAGGGUGGAGGCAUAGUGACCUGUGAAACGGCUAUUAACGAUAAUCCCGGUGGGAUGUGACGGUGGUCGGACCACAGUGUAACAGGGGGAGGCAGGAUUCCCAGUGGAAGAGUGGAAUUGUUCUCCACUGGCAUGAGGAAAAGUAGGAAUAGAGGAGGGAUGGAAAAGAUUAGUUCAGUUUCUGACACGUCUAAUGAGAUGUUUGCUUGCUUAUUUAUUUAUUUGUUUUUAUUUAAGUUCAAUGAAUCCCCGUAGAGUUAACACAGUGUUAUUAGUUUCAGAAGUGUGACACGCUGGUUCAGCGCUUCCGCACAUCCUCGGGUGCUCAUCCCCGUGCCUCCUUCAUCCCUCCCCCCUUUCACCCAUCCCCUCCCAACCCCAGCCUCCCCGCUGGCUGUUCUUUCCCUGGCACUCAAAAUUCAAACCCUGCUGAGAAGUUAUCUUGCAUCACUUUUCCAACUAGCAAAACUCCCAUCAGAGAGCGCCAACUAUUUUUGAGAUCUUCAGAGCAUUUCAAAUACAAUGUCACUCAACGAUGGAGAACCUUCUUGGGGACAGGCACCAGACUCGUUGUGGAGAACACAGAGGCGUAUCAGUGGCACAUCCUGUCCUCUGGGAUCUGACAAGGUCAAGGAGAUGCCCAUGAAAAUAACCCAAGGCAGGUGGGAGAAAUGGCACCACACAAACUUACAGGGAAAGAAAGUGAGAAGUUUCUUCCUCAGAGCCUGAGACAUAGGCCCAUGUCUUGUCCUUUCCAAGACUGAGAAGACUUUCUCUGUUACCUAAUCCUGCAACAUCUGUCUUACUUUGAAAUCAGGCCUCUUUGUGGAAACUCCAGCUGAAAAGUCCACUAUGGAGCAAUUGCAUUCGUUGAAAUGCAUUUCUACCAGGUGUCAGGUUUUCUUAGCCUUCGCCUUCUUUUAGACCUCUCAGGGUGUCAACAUGGCCUCUGGAGGAGGGCACUGACUGAAAGGCAGUGUGAGGGUUCAAAUGAAGCCCUGGAGCUUUGUCAGUGGAGCCACAUCAUGGCUAUGAGCUCUGGAGAACUGCAAGAGACAGAGAAGUUUGUGUUUCUGGGAAGACAAGACCAAGCACCAAGCAGUUAGCUGAGAUGCUCCCUUCUCUGUGGGCUUAAUGAAUGAUACAAUUAAGUUCACAGGUACAGUGUGAACUGUUUUAUUUAUUAAAUUUCUCAUAGGCAUUUCCAUAUUAAAUGACUUUUUGAAAAGCCAAGAAAUAGUUUCAUUUUUUUAGUAAUAUUACAUGUGGUUAGGGUAGGAGUGGGAUGGGGCCAGGUGGAGCUAGUGCUGACAUUAAAAGCAAGAGACUCAGAAGCCCUGUUUCAGUCCAUAUGCAAAUUUUGAGAAGUCAGUUAGCUGCUACCUCAGUUUUCCUAUCUGUGAAAAAGAGCCCCUUAGCCCAGGCUACCCACCUGACACCCAUAUGAACUGUGUACGUGGCCACAUCAACUUUCCAGUACCACAAUUUCCAUUUGGACCAGUCUCAGUUCCUAAAGGGCCAACAGUAAGUUUCCCAUCCCAUGGCCUCUCGGUUCUAAGACUGAGCCCUCCUACAUCCUCAACCUCAUGAACUGACCAGGUCCUACCACCACCUAACAUUGCUCCCCUUCACACCCCAGUGGGACACCUUCUCACUUAUGUCACUGCCUUCCAGCAAAGACCACCAGGAACACCCCAGCAUAACCCGUGGAUGUUUGAGUGUGGGAGUGUUAGAAAAGACCUACAGGAUGUAGGCUUGUGCUUGCUGGUUUGGGGGAUGGUUCAAGGGAGUAGGGCUUGCUCUAGAUCGGGUGCUAUUCAGGAGGCUGGCUCAUUCUCUGGUUGGUAUCAUUAUAAAUGUUAGGCGGGGGAGGGCAGAUUGGAGGGAGACUAGGGGUGUAAUUGAUAAAGAAGCAGCCAUCUGCCAUAUUAGCUGGGAGAGAUGUUUGGUAUAAUGACUUGGACAAGAUUCAAGUCUUGUCUGUGUUCAGACAUGAUUAUGAAGUGGUCUUGUUUUUAUCUUGAUCCAUCAUGAUCACAGAGUGGCCUUGUCUGAUGCCGAGAUUCCCUGAAAUUGUUUUCCUUCAAUACAGAAGAACGCCAAGACUUAGCUAGUGGUGCCAAGCCCUCUCAGAGCAACACCAGAGAUGGCACCAGGCCUGCAGUUUUCCUUCUCAGCCAGGAGGGUCUCCUUAGCCCUGGGUUGAGGAGGAGGCAGGAAAGACAAGAAGUACACACAGUUUAAGGAGGCCACUCUCAGAUACUGGCCAAGCCCUUGCAUGACCCCAACAUGGAGUGAUUCCUUAUGUGUCAUGCCUCUCUCCCCUGCAUUGCCUCACCUCUGUCCUUGUCUGUGAAGUCCUCUGCUUUUCCUUCUUUUUUCACCCUAAAUCCUACCCAGAUCAGAUACAGACAUACCAAGACCACUGAUGGCAUUCAGGGCUCCUACCUCAAAAUAUCGCACCUUAGCCUACUGGAUAUUUUAAGCUGAAGGAAUUUGGGAACAUGGCAGAAGCAGGAAGGUCAGUGUGACCUCCUUCCCAUCUCAGCCUUCUUCCCCGAAAUAAGUCAUAAAGUCCUCAUGUGAGACGUGCCUUUGUUACACCCAGUCCCUGGGGAAAGAAGCAUGCUAUCUCUAAAGACAAAGGGACGCCAAGAAGAAUCCUAACAAACAGGACUUGCUAGGUUUCCCCAGUUUACUCCUCUUACCAGAUACUCCUCGUCCUGUCAUAUUCCCCCAUGACUGUCCACUCUCCAUCAAACCUGGCAUAAAAGCGCACAGGUCUAACUGCUUCUUCAGGUCUUCAUGUCCUUAUGAAGGCUUCAGCGUUGUAUAAGACUUACACUAAAUAAAUUCACGUGCAUUUCUUCUGUUUACCUGUCUUUGUCAGUUUGAUUUUCAGAUUCAGUCAGGGACCCUAAGAGGAUUGAGGACAAGUUUUCCCUCCCCUAACCCAGAUAGAGCUUUUACCUCCCUGAUGGUUAAAGCCCUCAAGGCCAUCACCCAUACAUUGCAGCUUUUUGUGAUUUGCUCAUUGCUUCUUAUAGAUUUGUUUGUUUUCUCCAAUUGUACUAUAGAUCUUAGCCUGACUGGUUCUUUCCCAUCAUCCAUAUCUCAACCUAAAUGGGCCACUAAAAGAGGACCUCCCAGGCCACCCCAACUAAAAUAUACCUGAUUCAAAUACUCUCCCUUUGCCUUGGUUUUUUCUCUUCAUUCCUUGAUCACUCUCUGAAAUGAUUUUAAUUUUAAGGUUAUUUUCUGUCCCCGCGGGCCACUCCAAUAUUAGUACUAGGAAAGCGAGUAUUUUGUCUGCCUUGUUCAUUCCUGUAUCUCCAGGGCCUUGUCAAUGUUAUGUUUUUGACAGUCAAUAUGCAUUUACUGCAAGCUCGUGUGUGGGGUAUGGUAAGUGCCCUGUAUGUGUAUGUGUAUACUGUCGGGGAGGCUGGGGAAGGAUGUUGGAAUAGAAACAUAAAAUCCUUGCCUUCCUGUGGUUUAUAAGCCAAGUGCCUCGGUUCUUGAAUGGUUUUGGAUUAAGCAAAUAGGUGUUAGCAGAUGUUCAUCUCUAAAUACUGCUAAUUGAUGUCCUGAUUGCCAAUCAUUUAAAAAGCUGAAUGGUCCUAAUUGGACUGUUUCAGCGGUUACAUACACUUUGUAAUUAAACUCCACUUUUGAAAAGGGAGUUUUGAAGUUCAGAAUUUUCUUUGAUAAUUUUCCUAAAUUCAUAAAAUUUUAAAUUAUAAAUCAGUGAGGAUUCCAUGCAGGAUUAAAUUCUGGCUUCAACUUUCCCAUGAAGAGUUUAGAUGAUGUGGCUGGAAAGGAAAUAACAAUAAUCACUGGGGGGCGGGGGGGCUGUCAAAUAAAAAUUUCAUUUGUUUGUUUAGGUCCUCACUUUCCUGUUAUUGUCUGGUGUGACUUUUUGUAGUUGUUUAUGAUGAAGGAACUUUCAUUUUCAUCAGUUAACCUUGGCCACUAUAGUGGCUCAGUUCAGCUACUGUUUAUCAGGCAAAUGUGUACAGAGUUCACAGCACCAGACCAGGCAGGAGCCAAGCCAUAGAUUGUCUAAUGCUUCUAGAAUAAGGGGCGACUUCAGCCAGGUGCUUCUAUAUACAUUAGCGAAAUGAUAUUUUUGCCUUUGAAUUAUCUGCUCAAUUAUUUAGCCUUCCAUGGCCUUCAGGACCUGUGUGUGGAAACUGGAUGCAGGUAUUUCUGAGGUGUGAGAAAUCUCAUCUAUUUCCUUUGGUUUGGUUUGGUUUAGGUGGUUCUAGAUUGCAAAGUGCUGCAGAGGGCUUUCAACAAUCAAAUGGAACUCUUCAUAUGCAUGAAAACAGAUCAGGAAGGCUACCCAGAAUGCCCUCUGGGUAAGAAGCAGGAUUUGGGAAACUAAGCCAAGGCAGACAUUGGCUUUAUCUGUACAGUUUGAAUUGUUUUUCUUUUUCUUUUUUUAAGAUUUUAUUUAUUUAUUUGAAAGAGACCGAGUG